rnacentral:rRNA from 1 species
UCAUCAUGCCCCUUAUGUUCAGGGCUUCACACAUGCUACAAUGGUCGGUACAACAGCGCCGACAACUUGUGAGGUGGAGCGAAUCGCUGAAAGCCGGGCCUUAGUUCGGAUUGGGGUCUGCAACUCGAUCCCAUGAAGUCGGAGUCAGCUAGUAAUCGCAGAUCAGCAAUGCUGCGGUGAAUACGUUCCCGGGCCUUGUACACACCGCCCGUCACGUCAUGAAAGUUGGUAACACCCGAAGCCGGUGGCCCAAACUUGUUAGGGAGCCGUCGAAGGUGGGAUCGGCGAUUGGGACGAAGUCGUAACAAGGUACCCGUACCGGAA